UUCAGGGGGGAAGUCUUUACUAGAGCUUGGUGCUUUCCGAAUCCCCUUCUCGGCUGAAACGAAUGGCCAAAAGACCGAAGACGUGACGAGCACCGUCCUCAACUAAUGGAGAGACUUCUAGUCGGGUCACUAUAUCAAGAGGAGGUGGAUGAGCAGGACGUUUCCUGUAAACUGGCAUGACUUACCUCCUUGAUGAUCCGAGCCUGACUCAUGGAAAAAGGCAACCGCGUGACUGGGAGCGGGGCUUUGCACGGCGGGGCUGUUAUGCCUUGGGCGACUGCAGCUCUGCUCGGGCUAAAGGACAGAAAGGAGGAUCGUUCAUCACCUCCAAAUAAUGUUUUCAAAGAAGACAGGAGCUGUACUCACACCUGUAACGUGAGGUUUACUAUUAAGGAUGUACAUUAACGUCAAAGGGUCCUUUGUAACCUUAAGGGAAUCUUUGAGUGUAACCUCAAAUCAGGUGAGGGCAUAAUAAAAAAGAUCAUUGAGGAUUGAAGUGGAG
ensembl:lncRNA